ACGUACUUCUUCAGAGUACCAAUUGGAGGGCAAGUCUGGUGCCAGCAGCCGCGGUAAUUCCAGCUCCAAUAGCGUAUAUUAAACUUGUUGCAGUUAAAAAGCUCGUAGUUGAACUUCGGCCUUGCGCGUCCUGCGGGUCUGCGCGCGGCCUUUGCGUUACUUUGAGAAAAUUAGAGUGUUCAAAGCAGGCUUUCGCCGUGAAUACUUGAGCAUGGAAUAACUGGGCAGGACCUUGGUUCUUCUUUGUUGGUUUUGUACCUGGGUAAUGGUUAAUAGGAACGGUUGGGGGCAUUCGUAUUUAACUGUCAGAGGUGAAAUUCUUAGAUUUGUUAAAGACGGACCACUGCGAAAGCAUUUGCCAAGGACGUUUCCAUUAAUCAAGAACGAAAGUUAGGGGAUCGAAGACGAUCAGAAUUCG
rnacentral:rRNA from 1 species